GGCAGCAGUGGGGAAUAUUGCACAAUGGGCGCAAGCCUGAUGCAGCCAUGCCGCGUGUGUAUAGAAGARGGCCUUCGGGUUGUAAAGUACUUUCAGCGGGGAGGAAGGCGUAAGGUUAAUAACCUUGUGAUUGACGUUACCCGCAGAAGAAGCACCGGCUAACUCCGUGCCAGCAGCCGCGGUAAUACGGAGGGUGCAAGCGUUAAUCGGAAUUACUGGGCGUAAAGCGCACGCAGGCGGUCUGUCAAGUCGGAUGUGAAAUCCCCGGGCUCAACCUGGGAACUGCAUUCGAAACUGGCAGGCUAGAGUCUUGUAGAGGGGGGUAGAAUUCCAGGUGUAGCGGUGAAAUGCGUAGAGAUCUGGAGGAAUACCGGUGGCGAAGGCGGCCCCCUGGACAAAGACUGACG
rnacentral:rRNA from 1 species